UUACCACAUGCAAGUCGCACGAGAAACGCUCGGGCUCUGCUCGGGGGCAAGUACAGCGGCGGGCGGGCGCGUAACGCGUAGAAAACUCUACCCUCACGCGCGGGACAAACCCGGGAAAACCGCGGCCAAUACCGCACGUCCUCCGGCCCCCGCACGGGGGCCAGAAGAAAGCUCGGGUUCUCCCCAGCGCCUUCUGAAGGGUCUGCCUUGGAUUAUCUUGUUGGCUAAGCAACCGCUCACCAAGGCAACAAUAUCAUAACUGGUCUGAAAAGACAAACAGUCACACUGGGACUGAAACACCGCCCAGACUCCUACCGGAGGCAGCAGUGGGGAAUCUUGCACAAUGGGGUCACCCCUGAUGCACCCAUGCCGCGUGGAGGAAGACACCCCUAUGGGGCGUAAACUCCUUUUCUGAACCAAGAAACCCCUGUAUGUUCAGGGCGCGACGGUACUUCAGGAAUAAGCACCGGCUAACUCCGUGCCAGCAGCCGCGGUAAUACGGAGGGUGCAAGCGUUGUCCGGAAUCACUGGGUGUAAAGGGUGCGCAGGCGGGGCAGCAAGUCGGAUGUGAAACCCCAUGGCUCAACCAUGGAGGUGCAUUCGAAACUGUUGCUCUUGAGUCCCGGAGAGGUUGCCGGAAUUCGUGGUGUAGCGGUGAAAUGCGUAGAUAUCACGAGGAACACCAGAGGCGAAAGCGGGCAACUGGACGGGUACUGACGCUCAGGCACGAAAGCGUGGGGAGCAAACAGGAUUAGAUACCCUGGUAGUCCACGCCGUAAACGAUGAACGUUCGCCGUUAUCCCGCUUAAGGGAUAGUGGCUAAGCUAACGCGUUAAGCGUUCCACCUGGGGAGUACGAUCGCAAGGUUGAAACUCAAAGGAAUUGACGGGGGCCCGCACAAGCGGUGGAGCAUGUGGCUCAAUUCGAUGCAACGCGAAGAACCUUACCUAGGCUCGAACGCUAGAGGACCGCUCCCUGAAAGGGAGCUUCCCCUUUGGGGCCUGUAGCGAGGUACUGCAUGGCUGUCGUCAGCUCGUGUCGUGAGAUGUUGGGUUAAGUCCCGCAACGAGCGUAACCCUUGUCGUUAGUUACCAGCGGGUAGUGCCGGGGACUCUAGCGAGACCGCCUGCGCAAGCAGUGAGGAAGGUGGGGAUGACGUCAAGUCAUCAUGGUCCUUACGCCUAGGGCUGCACACGUGCUACAAUGGUCGGGACAACGAGCAGCCACCUCGCGAGAGGGAGCGAAUCUCUCAAACCCGAUCGUAGUUCGGAUUGGAGUCUGCAACUCGACUCCAUGAAGCAGGAAUCGCUAGUAAUCGCGGAUCAGCAAUGCCGCGGUGAAUUCGUUCCCGGGCCUUGUACACACCGCCCGUCAAGCCAUGGAAGCUAAGAGCACCCGAAGUCCGUGACUAGGCUCUAGCGUUAGCUAGAGGGAGAGCGGCCGAAGGUGAGCUUAGUGACUGGGGCU
rnacentral:rRNA from 1 species